UUGGAUACAGAGAUGACAGAGAAUCAGUUUUCCUUAAGCACGAUUUCAGGUGUUAUACCUCAAACCUUAUUUGGAUUAUCUAACUAGUUUGUGAUUAUGUAAGUAAAACCGAGCUUCCUAUAAAUCCAAAAAUCCAAUUUUCAGAAAAACAACUAUUUUUGUGUGUGUAAACGUGUUUUCUGUACACUGGAUUGCAACGGGACUGCGGCAGGUCCUAGCAAGAAACCAUAUAUAUAUUUACCUUAACAGAAAAACUAACCAAAAAAUGAUUUACCUAAAAAUUCUCUAAAAGAAUGCUCUAGAAAGACUCAUGUCUAAUUCUUGGUUCCCAAACAACCGUGAGGCUUCAGGACUAAAAACACCGAGCUCCUCUGUAUCUGAAGAAUCUCAUUUAAUCUGUUCACACUGCACUUUGAAAUUGAUAAAAUUCGAACUGUCAUUUGCAAAUAAUAGAUGACUAACCCAAGGUGAGCAUGCACUUGCCGAGAUACAUCUGUCCACAUACGCACCUCCAAAGUUGUUUAACAAGGAAGUAGAGUCUUCAACAUAUAUGAGAAGUAAAUGCGGUGGCAUGGGAUCCCUCUUUUUUUCUGACUGGGACAGUAGGAGCUCUGCAUUUUCAUUUCAGUAGGGAAAACUGUACAAGACUGAAGCAAAACAGCUGAGGAAACAAGAGAAAAACUAAAUCCAAAUCUGUGCAAACAAUUCAAUUGCAAUGGGGCUGCAACAUGAUUGCAAUGUUCACUUGUGUAGAAAAAAAGUGUUCUCUGUAAACUGGAUUGCAAUGGGGCUGUGACAGGUCCAAACAAGAAACCAUACAUAUUUACCUUACCUGAAAACUAACAAAAAAUGAUUUCCCUAACUAUUAUUUUUCUGAAAACAUGUUAUGCAAAAAAUCAUGUCUAUUUCUCGGUAUUCAAACAACUACGUAGGGUUGCGAGGCAGGACUAAAAACACCAAGCUCCAAAGUUGGAAUGAUAAAAUUCAAAUUGUCAUUUACAUAAGUUGGAAUUGGUCAAACACGUCUAUAUCCGAAGAAUCUUCUCAUGCACUUUGGAAUUAAUAAAAUUCAAAUUGCCAUUAGCAAAUACUCCGUAAUAGAUGAUUAACCAAGGUGUGUGUAUACUUACCCAGAUGCAUGCAUCUGUCCACAUACGCGCCUCCCAAGUUGUUUAACAAGGAAGUAGAUCCUUCAGGACAUAUGAGAAGUAAAUAUGCUGACAUGGGAUCUCCUUGUCAUAUCUCUCUCUCUGUUUCUUUUUACCAGAACAGCAUGAGCUCUGCAUUGUCAUUUCAGUAGGGGAGAAAUUGUACAAGACUGAAGCAAAACAGCCGAAGAAACAAGAGAAAAAGAAGUCAGAAACUAAAUCUGAAACUGUGCAAACAGUUCGGCUAUACACAGGUAGUAACACCCUCACUCCCAUGCCUCCUUGAGGAGGCCAAUAGCUUCUCUAGCCAAAGACAGGACCAUUGCACUGGAGGUCACCGCGGCCUUAUGCUUCAAGUGAUGUAAACCGCCGCUGAGCAUUCGUCUUGCACAACCAAUCACUGAUUGAAACGGCGGCAGUCAGGGCGCCUGAGCAGCAGCCAGAAAACAGCACUGGCCAGGAACCAAGUUUUCUUUGCACAAGGACAAUCCAGAGAAAGGUGGGUGGCCGACGCGAUUGUUUGGUCGCAGUUGGAGCAAACAUCAUGGUUGCAGCAUCUCUGAAUGUAGCGGGUUCAACAAGUUUGGCAGUAAACCAGCAGCACAAGCCACUGCAUCUCCCACAUGAUCUCUCAACACAGCCCCACCAGCCUCCAUUACAUUCGUUUGGUUUGGACGAGCCAUCGAUGUUCAUUUCAAUCCAGCCAGCCGGCGGUGGUUAGAUUGAGCAGAAGGAUCUGGGAGCACCAUGGUGUUUGCUCUAACUUUGACCAAACGAUUAAGUCGGCCUAUCCUCACGUCUCCAUAUCAUGAUCUUAUGGCACUUGAACAUAUUGUCUGAAUAAUUUCUUCAGUGGCGUCAAUGCGAUGUGCGUGUGGUACCUGGUGCAAUGGCUGCUGAUAUGCAUUUUACUCUAGGUGAAAGCACACCAUUACAACCAACCAACUACGCUUUCAGAGCGAGCUUGGUGAUGAGCUCGUUCACAAUGGAGAGAUCGGUUGCAGCUAUGUGCUGCCAUUCACUUGUCACCAUGACCUGUCCCAAGUCUGCAGCAGACUGAACUUUGAGGAACUCCAGGCAGGUCUCCUUCAGCGCGUGGCAAUGGUGCUGAGCAGCUAGACCAAGGAUAGAACGUCACCGAGCUCAUGUCUAUGUGCCCCCAUAGCCUUUCCUCGCACAUCGACUUAAGGCGCUGGAGAUCGUACCUGUCCGCCGCUGCAAGCAAAUGUUGCAGCCACAUAACCUCAUCGGCUCGACCUUCUCCUUCUUCUGCUUCCCCUUCCACCUCCAUCUCGGGCAUCAAAUCGGUGUAGACGAAACUGAGCAAGGCCUUGAACACGUUUGGUUCCAUGUCUUGUAUCUGUAUGGCAAUCCCCUCCUUCAUGGGGCCGAAGAGCUCUGCCAUGAAGAUUGCAGAAUAGCUCCAAGCUCCAGAUGACGAUCACACCCGAAUAGCCAACCCACAGGCCGGAGGCCCUGCAUUAAGAAUCUCUUUCCUGAUAUUUGGGGAUGAGCGAUCCAAAUUUCCAAUGGCACUGGCUUACUACGGCAACAAACUAAAUGUCUAAUUACUAUUUGUUGACAUCCCCUGCAACAAAGACAACAUACAUAUGGCUAGUUCAUAGAUUAAGGGGAUUCCAUACAAGAUUGUCAUCACAUAUAUUUGAUCCUGAAAAGAACUUGAAAAAGACAGUCUUCCUUGGCACUGACCAAAAGUGCGAAGAUGUAUAGAACACAUAGAAGUAUUGAUUGGAAAACAGAGGCAAAAAAUGAGACUGUUUCCAUACAAUUCAAUAGCUUUAUAUAAAACAACAACAACAACAAAGCCUUUAGUCCCAAACAAGUUGGGGUAGGCUAGAGGUGAAACCCAUAAGAUCUCGCAACCAACUCAUGGCUCUGGCACAUGGAUAGCAAGCUUCCACGCACCCCUGCCCAUAGCUAGCUCUUUGUCGAUACUCCAAUCCUUCAGGUCUCUCUUAACGGACUCCUCCCAUGUCAAAAUCGGUCGACCCCGCCCUCUCUUGACAUUCUCCGCACGCUUUAGCCGUCCGCUAUGCACUGGAGCUUCUGGAGGCCUGCGCUGAAUAUGCCCAAACCAUCUCAAACGAUGUUGGACAAGCUUCUCCUCAAUUGGUGCUACCCCAACUCUAUCUCGUAUAUCAUCAUUCUGUGGGCUAACUAGAUGACAGCUCUGUCCAGCUGUAUGCUUGGCAAAGCUAUGAACAUGACUCAGUUUCAGUCGGUAACGCACUCUGAUGUAAAACUGUCAAAUAAAUCAAAAUGAUAUUGCAACCAACUGACCUCUGUCUUAAUAGCGCAGCUUCUUGUUCAUAAAAGCUACUGAAAAUUCAGGGAUGAUGUGUGUGGGACACGGCCAAAAAGGAUUAUAAAUAGCUGGACACAAAUUGCCAAUCCUCGUUACCAAAUAGAUAACGGGAGACUUAAGCAAGCCUUCCAUUAGUUAGAUAAUUCUUCCAUUUAGAUAUCUCAGUCUCCAAAAACAAAUAUGAAAUUCGUUACGUUAUCGAAGAUGAAGUCAUAGAAGGAAUGUGUGCUAGUAAAUUUGAUCAGCUUGGUUACCUGAAACUUACUUGAGAAAUGCAUGUUCCAUUCCUUGUUAAUGUUACAAAAGGUACAAUGCCCAAAUUUGGUUUCAACAAAAGAUCAAAAGAGUGUUAGUAAAGUUUAACUGAACAGUUACACUUGACUAAUAUCUCGAUGAAACUUAACACAAUUGCCAAAAUGAUUAUUUAAUGGAAGGCAGAACUCUAAAACAAAACAAAAAAUUCAAGAGGGUGUACCUUAUUUGUUUUAAAUUCUGCUUCGCUUUCAGCAAAGCGUGCCGGCCCUAUCUCUAAAGCACCAAACUUCCACAUUUUAGGAGAUUAGCUUACCAUGUUUAGUAGCUUGCUUCUCAGCUAUACUCCCCAGCCUUUCAUCAAGACAUUAUUUUCCAAGUCUAGCAUUAUAAUUUGUCGAGUAAGAGACUUCAUUUCAGUUCAGCAGACACUCAUAUCCCUUCCGACUGCAUUAUCAGAUGUCAUGCAUAAUAUUUGCAGAAUAUAGCAGGAAUUAGCUCCAGACAGACAGGAAGCACAAAUCACUCAAAAUAAUCAUUUUAGCUAACAGUGCAUAACAGAAUUAACUAACAGUGAGAUCAUCUAAUAGAUGGACUUUACUCUCAAAAUAUAUGUGUGCAUCUUCAUCACAAUUUGGGAAAGUAGCUAUCCAAACCAAGAUGUUGCAGUCUUAGAGAACUCAUCUCAUACCAGAGUUGGCUCCAGACGCACACGAAGCACAAAUCACUCUGCUACUUCUGCUCUGUCAGCGAACUCCACCCCAUCCCCGGUUUGGCGCCUGCCACAUUGCUUGCAGCCACCACCUGACAAGCACACCAAUCAUGUAAUCCACCUAGCCAGGUGUCCGAAUAACAUGUAAUUCACCACAUGGAUCGGAAUCUGUAUAAUAAAAUCAACUUCAGGCAAGGCCCACCAGCCAGCACAUGAGGACGAACACAAACUCCUUUUUCUUAAAUUUUAUAUACUACUAUACAAAAGAAGAUGAUUAGUUUGGGGUGAACUCCAUCUAAAUUUAUCACUGAAAAUUAUCACAUUCAACGAUUGACCUCAGAUUCUUCAGGGGAAUGGCAGAUCCAUCACAUGACUUCAAGUGGUAGGAAGUAGUGCGUGUUAACAGCUAUGCCCUAUUCAUGGGAUACCUUUCCAUGGCCAUCAGGGGCCUAGGUUUCCUGGCUAUUACCUAGACCACUGUCGUUCUGCUGUUCUCCUUGGAGGUUUCGUCUCCAUGCUGGCUAACAAGGACAUUGGGUGUCUAACAAUCAUUACCCUCCUUCAGACAGCUGGGUCAGUCCUCCUAAUCAUCAAGUCAUAUAUUUGUGAUGCAUAAUUUCUUUCUUUUUGUGGCUCCAUCUUUCUAAGAUGCGUCUGGAUAUGAAGGUUUGUUUAGUAAAUGCACUUGUUAUCCCUUUGUAACGCUGUUUGUGUGAUGUAUAUAUAAUGAACAGGAUCUAUGAUGUCUUUCUGAAUGAAAUGCUGGACUAUACAGAAACUGCUAUCAAGUGUGACAAAUGCUGUUAUGGACAGCUGCCAAGACUAGCCAAGGAAACUCUUGUAUAUACUUCUUCAGCUCUUCCCACUAAAACUAAAGGAGCUUUCAUAGCAGCCCUGGCAGGCAUGAUUGUCGACAACAGGAAAAACAGUUCCAUGGUGACAAUGGCAUGUGAAAACCUCAAGGACCUAUGUAUCCAAUGCACCGAGAAUGCUGAAUGUCUCAAGAAACUGCUGGAAGCCCUACAGUUGUGAUGCUAAAGAUCUUGAGGGAAAUAAAUGCAGAUUUAGAAGGUCCUGAUCCGCGAGAUGUUCAAGAGUGAUCUGUGUACAGGAAAGUGAGCUCUCGGCCACACUACUUGUCUCUCUGUGUGACCAUACGCUAUACGCUGAUCAGUGCGUAUCCACAUCUGGCUCAUCAGUUUGUGCCAAAACGAACGCAUGAGGCACAAGGCAUCGAUCCUGUCAAUACUUUUGCCUGCCUCGUCGAGGAACCUAAGCAGUUUCUGGACGAAAAGGAGCAGCAGAGAUCUGGUGGCCAUUCCACUUACACCCCCAUAGUCGUUGUCACGAAGGGGAAAAUUAUGGGACUGUAGCAGAGGCAGGAGAAUGGGAAGGGUCAACUGGCCACGACAGGUUAAGGCCGAUGCAUCAGUUGGAGGACAAGUAUUCUGGAGGGGUAUGCUGCUUCAGUUUCUGCGGCUUCAAAAACGAGAUCAAGGCAGGCUGAGGCUGAUCCAGCACAAUAAUUCACCUCUGUCAUGCCUAGUAUGUUUCUACUUAUUCUAAUUAAAACAGUGUAUUUCAGUGUCUACUACUGCCAGGCCAUGAACGACGUAAACUGGAGUAUAUUAUGUGUGCGUUCCCAAAAAAUGUGGUCACUGCUACUAGGAUUUCCCGUUCAACUAACGAUGUCAUGGAGACACAGAUGAUCCGGCAGAUUAGACAGACCAUCCUCA